ACUGCGGACAGUGCGGACGCGAAAACGGCCGAUCUGGCCUUCUAUCCUAUGCAAAAAGAGUAUACUCUUAUUCUAUAUACUCUUAUAUAUAUUCUAUAUUCUCUGACUAUACCCUAUUAUUUCUGCUGAUUGUUUCUGGCCAAGAUUGAAACCGCGAUCAUGUAAACAGUUGGCAAUGUGAACGUGUUUGAUGCAUACCCAAAACGAAGCAGACGAGUGACCGUUCUCCGAGUUCGCUCGCACGACUCCUUAUGAAGAUGUGUACAGUGAAGUACAUCUCUAAUCAACUACCCCAUCGGUGCCGUGGUAUUUAGUUAAUUUACAAGAGUAGUGUGCUGUGUGUCCACGAGUAUCUCUAAUAAGAGAGUCUCAUGUAAUAUCGCUCUCUUAAAACUAAGUGUGUAACUUCCUUCUUUAUAGAUAUUAAGAUCCUUAUCGUUUUCUCUGUAAAUAUAAAUAAUUCAAGGCAAAAGUGGAAGGGCUCAACUAUUUUAAGAGGGUGUAGCAGUUGUAGUUUUGUCUUUGAGGCAAAAUGUCGCAGCAGCGAGAUACUAUCAUACACCUUGUUGCCGGAGGCUGCUCUUAUGUCCCUUUUUUGAGUAUGUACUGAAGCAGCAUAUUUUCUUGUUGGUCAUAUUUUCGAUUGGGACAUUCAGGGUAUCAUCAGGUGAUGACAGAAGCAAUGGCAAGGGAGCAGGCUACUCUAUUAUUAAGGCAAAUGACACUUAAAAGGCAGAGAAAAGGAAGCAAUAUUAUUAUACUAUGUAAUCUCCACAUAAACAGAAGUAAAAAGUUCUCCUGCAUCCUGUAUAUUUAAAUUGGAUAUUAGGAUACCGAAAUAUCUAACGACAAGCAAAACACACGUGUACACACAGCUGAAUCAUAGAAUAAUAAGUCAAUCUUUAUGAAGCUAAUAGUUUUUUCCAAGUUAUUCGCUAACAGAAGC
rnacentral:lncRNA from 1 species